rnacentral:rRNA from 1 species
AAUGAACGCUGGCGGCAGGCCUAACACAUGCAAGUCGAACGAGUGGCGGACGGGUGAGUAAUGUCUGGGAAACUGCACGAUGGAGGGGGAUAACUACUGGAAACGGUAGCUAAUACCGAAAACCAUUGGAGGUGCGCAGGGGGGAUUAGCUAGUAGGGGGGGUAACGGCUCACCCAGGCGACGAUCCCUAGCUGGUCUGAGAGGAUGACCAGCCACACUGGAACUGAGACACGGUCCAGCCUCCUACGGGAGGCAGCAGUGGGGAAUUUUGCCCAAUGGGCGCAAGCCUGAUGCAGCCAUGCCGCGUGUAUGAAGAAGGCCUGCGGGUUGUAAAGUACUUUCAGCGAGGAGGCGGUACUCGCAGAAGAAGCGCCGGCUAACUCCGUGCCAGCAGCCGCGGUAAUAC